CCUACGGGAGGCAGCAGUGGGGAAUAUUGCACAAUGGGGGAAACCCUGAUGUAGCGACGCCGCGUGAGUGAAGAAGUAUUUCGGUAUGGAAAGCUCUAUCAGCAGGGAAGAAAAUGACGGUACCUGAGUCAGAAGCACCGGCUAACUACGUGCCAGCAGCCGCGGUAAUGCGUCGGGGGCAAGCGUUAUCCGGAUUUAAUGGGUGUAAAGGGAGCGUAGACGGCAGCACAAGUCUGGAGUGAAAUGCCGGGGCUUAACCCCGGAACUGCUUUGGAUACUGUUCAGCUAGAGUGCAGGAGAGGUAAGUGGAAUUCCUAGUGUAGCGGUGAAAUGCGUAGAUAUUAGGAGGAACACCAGUGGCGAAGGCGGCUUACUGGACUGUAACUGACGUUGAGGCUCGAAAGCGUGGGGAGCAAACAGGAUUAGAUACCCUUGUAGUC
rnacentral:rRNA from 1 species